rnacentral:tRNA from 1 species
GCCGCUGUAGCAAAGCCCGGCCAUGCUUCCGCCUUUUAAGCGGAGAUACGCAGGUUCAAAUCCUGCCGGCGGCACCA